UCGGGAAUAUUGCGCAAUGGAGGAAACUCUGACGCAGUGACGCCGCGUGCAGGAAGAAGGUUUUCGGAUUGUAAACUGCUUUAGACAGGGAAGAAAGAAAUGACGGUACCUGUAGAAUAAGCUCCGGCUAACUACGUGCCAGCAGCCGCGGUAAUACGUAGGGAGCAAGCGUUAUCCGGAUUUAUUGGGUGUAAAGGGUGCGUAGACGGGUAUACAAGUUAGUAGUGAAAUCCCUCGGCUUAACUGAGGAACUGCUACUAAACUAUAUAUCUUGAGUACUGGAGGGGAAAGCGGAAUUCCUAGUGUAGCGGUGAAAUGCGUAGAUAUUAGGAAGAACACCGGUGGCGAAGGCGGCUUUCUGGACAGAAACUGACGUUGAGGCACGAAAGUGUGGGGAGCAAACAGGAUUAGAUACCC
rnacentral:rRNA from 1 species